rnacentral:ncRNA from 2 species
UUGGUGGACUGGGGGAGCCGGUGAGGACCGGCUGAGAGGAAACGGUUUUGAGUUUCGACCCCUGGAACCUGAUCCAGGUCAUGCUGGCGAAGGAAAGUCGCUUUCUUCCACU